CAGGACUGGACCAGGCUCCUGUGUUCCUGCCCAACCCUCACCCUCACCCUUCAACUCUCUCCAGCUAGUCCCUGCUGCACCCAGUCUCUGUGUUCCCAGCUCUUCUUUGCUUGUCCCUGGCACUGCUAGUUCUUCCUCAGCCAUAAACCCAUGUAGUCAGCGAUCUCACGUUCCAGUAACUAAACGGAACCGCCAAUCUCACGGUUGCAUAUCAUAAUAUCCAGUAACCCGGUAAAAACAAGACUCUUAAAAGCUUACUUAACCAAUCAGAUUUAUAUAUCAAUAAUAUCACAAUUUACAAGAUGCCAACACAAUAAUUAAAGGACCAAUUGAUAAUGAUAAAAGCUUUAUCCCGAUUAAUCUAACCUUACGAUACCACAACUACUUGUGGCUGGUAAACACCACCCGGGUUCACAUCCGCAGCUAUCUUCCUUCUACUCCUACUCUCUGAUGUUCCCUGUCCACCCCCACUCUUAGCUCCGCCUCCUGUUUCCCUGUCCAAUCACAGGCCUCCUCUGCAUUAAUGUAAUUGGACAGGGAAAAUCCUGAAACAAUGGCCAACUGUUGAGAGGUUUCAUUGGUACAGUUCUAAAGGAAAAGACACAAGUUUCAAGGUGGGAUAAAGUGGGAACCACAAUCAACAAACAGAGAAAAUCCUAACACUGUCUGAAACAUUGCAUGCACCCACUGUGGAAGCUUACAAACAGUGACCUGAAUACCUACUAAGUACAACCAGAUCUGCUUCUGAAUGUCUACUUUUACCAAGCAUCAGACAGGAUCGAUAAUUUUGCAAAUUGAGAAUCUCAAGAAGUGAUUGCGCAGCUCCUCAAUAUACAGCAAUUUACUAACUGAGAGAGAAAACACCCUAAAU